rnacentral:rRNA from 1 species
UAGGGAAUAUUGGGCAAUGGAGGGAACUCUGACCCAGCCAUGCCGCGUGCAGGAUGAAGGCGUUAUGCGUUGUAAACUGCUUUUAUAUAGGAAGAAAUAGUCCUUGCGAGGAAAGUUGACGGUACUAUAUGAAUAAGCACCGGCUAACUCCGUGCCAGCAGCCGCGGUAAUACGGAGGGUGCAAGCGUUGUCCGGAUUUAUUGGAUUUAAAGGGUGCGUAGGCGGUUUAUUAAGUCAGUGGUGAAAGACGGUCGCUCAACGAUUGCAGUGCCAUUGAUACUGGUAGACUUGAGUAUGAUUGAGGUAGCUGGAAUGGAUAGUGUAGCGGUGAAAUGCAUAGAUAUUAUCCAGAACACCAAUUGCGUAGGCAAGUUACUAAGUCAUAACUGACGCUGAGGCACGAAAGUGUGGGUAUCAAACAGGAUUAGAUACCCCGGUAGUCCCUGAGCGGGCUGGCAAGGCGCAU